rnacentral:rRNA from 1 species
UACGGAAGGCAGCAGUGGGGAAUAUUGCACAAUGGGCGCAAGCCUGAUGCAGCCAUGCCGCGUGUAUGAAAAAGGGCCUUCGGGUUGUAAAGUACUUUCAGUCGUGAGGAAGGUGUUAAGGUUAAUAACCUUAGCAAUUGACGUUAGCGACAGAAGAAGCACCGGCUAACUCCGUGCCAGCAGCCGCGGUAAUACGGAGGGUGCGAGCGUUAAUCGGAAUUACUGGGCGUAAAGGGCACGCAGGCGGUUAAUUAAGUUGGAUGUGAAAUCCCCGGGCUUAACCUGGGAAUGGCAUUCAAGACUGGUUAGCUAGAGUCUUGUAGAGGGGGUAGAAUUCCAUGUGUAGCGGUGAAAUGCGUAGAGAUGUGGAGGAAUACCGGUGGCGAAGGCGGCCCCUGGACAAAGGACUGACGCUCAUGUGCGAAAGCGUGGGGAGCAAAC